GUGGUGGUGGGAGUGACAGUGGGGGAAGAACGCACAGCGGCACUCUCGCCCGCUAGCACUCACGCUGUUCGCAUCCGCGCACGCCCCCUUUGCUUUGAGUUCCUUUUGUUUCUUCGGGAAAAUACCGAGAUAAAAAAAAAAUAUAUAUAUAUAUAGCUAUAUAACAAAUCUUGUGAGUGAACAAAAAGUGCAAUACAAAAGGAAAACAAAAAAAAAGAAAGAAAGAGAAAGACGAACUAGAAGCACAAGCGAAAACAAAAACAACCCCCCCCCCCAAAAAAAAAAAAAAAAAAAAAAAAAAAAAAAAAAAUCUAGAACUUAAGAUAUGUUCUACGUUGACCUUAUGGACGCGAAUUUAGGAGGAGGAGAAGGAGAAGGAGGAGGAGGAGAAGAAGAAGAGGAAGAAGACGACGAGGAAACAACCAUUGAAGACGACACAACACCCACACCGCCGGAUUUCCAGAGGUGUGAGAUGAUGAUGGCCAUGACGUCACACCAAUUAAGGUGAGUCUUCCAACUAAUUAAAGUUUAACAAGUAUAAUUGGGUAUAUAACAUUUUAAGAUAGUCCCUCGAACUCAGAAAUACGGGACGAAGCGGAAAGUUCGCGGUGAAAAGUCUUAAUAAAGGUGAAAAAUGAGAUUCUUUCACUGGAGGGGAAUUGAUUGCGGUCGUGACGGCUUCAAAAGGGAUUCGAAGCGAUUCGGACGAGAUGGAAAAUGUCUCAGGUGAUUCGGAAAACGUUUCAGGUGAUUAGAAUUUGUUUCGAGGCGAUCUCCGGUUCGGUUUGUUUCUGUUGCAUACGUGUUGCAUACGUGGUACGUUAGAUUGUGUAUGCAAAUGCUUAUCUACAUCUGUUUCACUAAAAUUUGUACACAUGGUUCUGUUUGCAUAUUCUCACCAUUUACAUAAUUCCUGCAUAAUACUAACUAGUGCCAUCCAUCCCAUUUUAAGUACCGAUGCUCAUUUACAUAAGGGAACCUCUGGUACCCUUCUAACUUAAAAAAAAAAAAAAUAAUAAUAAUGAAUAAAUAAACAAAUGAAUAAAAAAAA
rnacentral:misc_RNA from 1 species